GACGAACGCUGGCGGCGUGCUUAACACAUGCAAGUCGAACGGAAAGGCCCUGCUUGCAGGGUACUCGAGUGGCGAACGGGUGAGUAACACGUGGGUGAUCUGCCCUGCACUUCGGGAUAAGCUUGGGAAACUGGGUCUAAUACCGGAUAGGAGCCAUCUUUAGUGUGGUGGUUGGAAAGUUUUUUCGGUGUAGGAUGAGCUCGCGGCCUAUCAGCUUGUUGGUGGGGUAAUGGCCUACCAAGGCGGCGACGGGUAGCCGGCCUGAGAGGGUGUACGGCCACAUUGGGACUGAGAUACGGCCAGACUCCUACGGGAGGCAGCAGUGGGGAAUAUUGCACAAUGGGCGCAAGCCUGAUGCAGCGACGCCGCGUGGGGGAUGAAGGCCUUCGGGUUGUAAACUCCUUUCGCUAGGGACGAAGCUUUUUUGUGACGGUACCUAGAUAAGAAGCACCGGCUAACUACGUG
rnacentral:rRNA from 1 species